rnacentral:rRNA from 1 species
GAGUUUGAUCUUGGCUCAGAUUGAACGCUGGCGGCAGGCCUAACACAUGCAAGUCGAGCGGUAGAGAGAAGCUUGCUUCUCUUGAGAGCGGCGGACGGGUGAGUAAUGCCUAGGAAUCUGCCUGGUAGUGGGGGAUAACGCUCGGAAACGGACGCUAAUACCGCAUACGUCCUACGGGAGAAAGCAGGGGACCUUCGGGCCUUGCGCUAUCAGAUGAGCCUAGGUCGGAUUAGCUAGUUGGUGAGGUAAUGGCUCACCAAGGCGACGAUCCGUAACUGGUCUGAGAGGAUGAUCAGUCACACUGGAACUGAGACACGGUCCAGACUCCUACGGGAGGCAGCAGUGGGGAAUAUUGGACAAUGGGCGAAAGCCUGAUCCAGCCAUGCCGCGUGUGUGAAGAAGGUCUUCGGAUUGUAAAGCACUUUAAGUUGGGAGGAAGGGCAGUAAAUUAAUAACUUUGCUGUUUUGACGUUACCGACAGAAUAAGCACCGGCUAACUCUGUGCCAGCCGCCG